rnacentral:lncRNA from 1 species
AUGCAACCUCUUUCUCCAGCUCCCACACGCCCGGUGUUAUGUAAACGCACCUUCAGCCCCCACCACAGCCCCAGCGCGGCCCGGCCCCGGGGCCUGGCACAGCUCGGUGCCCAGAGAAGGGAGGCACGAGGAGGCAGAGGGGCCUCUGGCCUUGCAGAGACCCGGGAAGGGAAAGGCAACUGCAAGGCAGUUGCACAGCAUAAAAUGCAGCAGCAGAGCAAAGGUCAGACGGCAGGGAACCGCCUCGCCAAAGAGAGGGAGCAGAAAUGCCCAGUCCCGGGUCAUCUCCGUGCUGACCAUCGAGGAGGCGGCAGAAAGGAAAACUUCCAGUGAAAGAAGACACUGAUGAUCAAAUGACACACGAGAGCAGUUGCAGAUUUUUGCCAAUGGGGGCCUGCAUGAAUUCAAGGUAUCACCUGUUUACUUUAUAUCCUGAAUUAACUUUCUACCUUCCCAGUCCAGAGUUUUAAUAAAAGGUUUCACUUGGGCUAGAGAGCAAAUGUGUUUGUGAAUCUCAUCCAAAAUCCCACAGCUUUUUCUCUAAAGACCUGUAAGUUCCUAAGACACUCUAAAAGGAGUAUAAAAAUAAUAAUUGUAAUUCUUGAGGGCUGCCAAUGGUAUACCGGGUUCCAGAGAGUCAUAACCUGUUUAACGCUUACGUGAAGCUUUCCAUCUCUGUGUUACCAGGACGUGGCUAACAUUACACACUGGCAAAUGGCAUUAAUCUGUCAUAGAAAUGGGG